AAAUACGCAAGUGCGAUUUGCGUAUUGGCUUUUCUUCCUUGUCGGAUUGUCCAUUCGUACGAAACCGCGGCUUCAAAUGUGGUUAUUUUCGUAAAUAAACAACUAGCUUUUCGCCUCGUUUUCGAAUUUUUACUCUAGCUGCUCCGAGUGAAAGUCGAAAACAACACGAUUUUUGGGACGGAUACCAGGAUAGCAUAGGCCCUAGUGUUCCAAUUUCCAUGAAAGCAUGGAAUAGUGACCAUCAAUCCAUAUCGGUAAAUGAAAUAGGUAUUUUCAGCUGAAACAAUGCCACCCAAGAAGAAGAAAUACCGACCAUUUCCACAGGCUCCUGGAAUUGCAGAAACCUUCUUACGGAGUAAUUAUAGUGCUGCUGCUCCGGAGAGUUGGAAGAAUGGUCACGUCCUCCAUGUCUUCAUGUCAUCAAAUCAUGCCGUGAAGGAAACUCUUAAAAACCUAAGAGAUUUGAUGACAGAGGACGUGACAGAAAAUUCAGUUUUACGACUGGUGAACCGUUUUAAAAAAUUCAAAAAACUGACUGACUGUAAGGAAUUUAAUCAGUUUGAGAAGCUGUGUGCAGCGUAUUUUAAGAUUUUAACGGUUACUCCACGGGGUGUGCGAAGACGCCUCUUGGAUGCUAACACAAACGACUCUAAAUCGCCUCUGAAAACUAGACAUACUGGUGCUUGUGGGAACUGUCGACUUCUUAGAGAUAAUUUGCGGAAGUGUAUUCAGGAGAAAAAUGCCCUGAGAAAGGAACAGUCUCGUAAUAAAGACCAGCUUCAAAGGUUAAAACUGUGUCCCAAGAAGCUGAAUGAGAAAUUAAAAAGGAGGGAUGCAACCAUUGCAAGGUUAAAACAAUCACUGGCAAAUCAGGAUAAAUCUGCAAAACAAGAACUGUGUCAAGCAAAAAGCAGUCAGUGAAGAGGCUGAGAAAGAGACAGUACGGAACGCAGGUGUGGAUUGAGUGAAAGAACUUGAAACUGUAUACCAAGACAGGUUUCUUCAGCAGGAAGAGGACCUUGAAGAUGUUAAGUCAUCCAGUGCAGAAUUGAAAAGUGAAUUCAGUAAGGAAGGGAAAGCGUAUCACUUCAGAAUGAGAAUCAUGGUUCCAACUGCAGAGAUUCCAAAUCAAAUUCUUUCUUUCGCAAAAAGCUUCGGAUGCAAGUUAGAAGCAAAGGACAUAUCAGGGAGAAGUACUGUAGAAAAUAUGAUCGUAGAACUUGGUCUAAUUAGUGAUCUUCAGGUAGCAGAACUUAUUUAUCGCGCUGAAAAUGUUACUGUGGGGUUUGACGCAACGACACAGGAGGGUCUUUAUGUGAAUGCUAUUCACACUACUACGAAAGGGGAGUGUUUGGUAGUGGCUCUUGAUCAGCUUGCUGGAGGAACAG